rnacentral:rRNA from 1 species
CCUGGGCUACACACGUAGCUACAAUGGCCAACACAAUAGGUUGCUAAGCCGCGAGGUGGAGCCAAUCCAUAAAGUUGGUCUCAGUUCAGAUUGUAGGCUGCAACCCGCCUGCAUGAAGAUGGAGUUGCUAGUAACCGCAGGUCAGCUAUACUGCGGUGAAUACGUUCCCGGGGCUU